rnacentral:rRNA from 1 species
UACGGAGGGUGCGAGCGUUGUCCGGAAUCACUGGGCGUAAAGGGCGCGUAGGCGGCAGGCCAAGUGUGCGGUGAAAGUCCGGGGCUCAACCUCGGAUCUGCCGUGCAGACUGGUUUGCUAGAGCACUGUAGAGGCGAGUGGAAUUCCGGGUGUAGCGGUGGAAUGCGUAGAGAUCCGGAAGAACACCAGUGGCGAAGGCGGCUCGCUGGGCAGUGGCUGACGCUGAGGCGCGACAGCGUGGGGAGCAAACAGGAUAGAUACCUGUAGUCAG